rnacentral:rRNA from 1 species
AGCAGCCGCGGUAAUUCCAGCUCCAAUAGCGUAUAUUAAAGUUGUUGCAGUUAAAAGCUCGUAGUUGAAUUUCGGGGUCAGUAGGUUGGUCGUGCCACCGGUACGUACUGGUCUCACUGAUUCCUCCUUCCUGAAGAGCCGUAAUGCCAUUAAUUUGGUGUUGCGGGGAAACAGGACUGUUACUUUGAAAAAUUAGAGUGUUUAAAGCAGGCUAACGCUUGAAUACAUUAGCAUGGAAUAAUGAAAUAGGACGAUCGAUCCUAUUUUGUUGGUUUCUAGGAUUGACGUAAUGAUUAAUAGGGAUAGUUGGGGGCAUUAGUAUUCAAUUGUCAGAGGUGAAAUUCUUGGAUUUAUUGAAGACUAACUACUGCGAAAGCAUUUGCCAAGGAUGUUUUCAUUAAUCAAGAACGAAAGUUAGGGGAUCGAAGACGAUCAGAUACCGUCGUAGUCUUAACCAUAAACUAUGCCGACUAGGGAUCGGAUGAUGUUAAUUUUUUAAUGACUCAUUCGGCGCCUUACG